GACGAACGCGGCGGCGUGCUUAACACAUGCAAGUCGAACGAUGAAGCCUAGCUUGCUAGGUGGAUUAGUGGCGAACGGGUGAGUAAUACGUGAGUGACCUACCUUUGACUCUGGGAUAAGCCUGGGAAACUGGGUCUAAUACCGGAUACGACCAAUCUCCGCAUGGGGUGUUGGUGGAAAGCGUUAUGGAGUGGUUUUAGAUGGGCUCACGGCCUAUCAGCUUGUUGGUGAGGUAAUGGCUUACCAAGGCGACGACGGGUAGCCGGCCUGAGAGGGUGACCGGCCACACUGGGACUGAGACACGGCCCAGACUCCUACGGGAGGCAGCAGUGGGGAAUAUUGCACAAUGGGCGCAAGCCUGAUGCAGCGACGCCGCGUGAGGGAUGACGGCCUUCGGGUUGUAAACCUCUGUUAGCAUCGAAGAAGCGAAAGUGACGGUAGUGCAGAA
rnacentral:rRNA from 1 species